CCUACGGGUGUCUGCAGUGGGGGAUAUUUCACAAUGGGGGGAACCCUGAUGCAGCGACGCCGCGUGGGUGAAGAAGCGCCUCGGCGCGUAAAGCCCUGUCAGCAGGGAAGAAAAUGACGGUACCUGAAGGAGAAGCCCCGGCUAACUACGUGCCAGCAGCCGCGGUAAAGCGUAGGGGGCAAGCGUUAUCCGGAUUUACUGUGUGUAAAGGGGGCGCAGACGGGGUUGCAAGCCAGAAGGGAAAGCGCGGGGCCCAACCUCGGGACUGCUCUUGGAACUGCGUGGCUGGAGUGCAGGAGGGGCAGGCGGAAUUCCUGGUGUAGCGGUGAAAUGCGUAGAUAUCAGGAGGAACACCGGUGGCGAAGGCGGCCUGCUGGACUGCAACUGACGUUGAGGCCCGAAAGCGUGGGGAGCAAACAGGAUUAGAUACCCUAGUAGUC
rnacentral:rRNA from 1 species